GAUGAACGCUGGCGGCGUGCCUAAUACAUGCAAGUCGAGCGAACGGACGAGAAGAGUGCUCAUUUAAUGUUGGCGGCGGACGGGUGAGUAACACGUGGAUAACAUUCCUAUUAGACUGGGAUAACAUCGGGGAAAAGGAGAUACUAAUAGCUGAUAUUAUGUACCGCUUGGUUCAAAAGUGAAUAACAGUUUUGCCGUUUCUAAUAGCCGGAUCGAUGUUGGAUUAGCUAGUUGGUAAGGUAACGGAAUACCAAGGCCACGAUGCGUAGCUGACCUGAGAGGAUGAUCAGCCACACUGGAACUGAGACACGGUCCAGACUCCUACGGGAGGCAGCAGUGGGGAAUCUUGGACAAUGGGCGAAAGCCUGAUCCAGCCAUACCGCGUGGGUGAAGAAGGCCUUCGGGUUGUAAAGCCCUUUUGUUGGGAAAGAAAAGCAGUAGGUUAAUACCCCGAUGUUCUGACGGUACCCAAAGAAUAAGCAACGGCUAACUUCGUG
rnacentral:rRNA from 1 species